rnacentral:rRNA from 1 species
AGAGUUUGAUCAUGGCUCAGGACGAACGCUGGCGGCGUGCCUAACACAUGCAAGUCGAGCGGAGCCAAACGAAAGAUUCUUCGGAUGAUUUUGUGGACGCUUAGCGGCGGACGGGUGAGUAACGCGUGAGUAACCUGCCUAUAAGAGGGGGAUAAUACCUGGAAACGGGUACUAAUACCGCAUAUUGAAUUUAAGUCACAUGGUUUAAAUUUGAAAGAUUUAUCGCUUAUAGAUGGACUCGCGUCUGAUUAGCUGGUUGGCGGGGUAACGGCCCACCAAGGCGACGAUCAGUAGCCGAACUAAGAGGUUGAUCGGCCACAUUGGGACUGAGACACGGCCCAGACUCCUACGGGAGGCAGCAGUGGGGAAUAUUGCGCAAUGGGGGAAACCCUGACGCAGCAACGCCGCGUGAAGGAAGAAGGUCUUCGGAUUGUAAACUUUUGUCGCAAGGGAAGAAACAAAUGACGGUACCUUGUGAGAAAGCCACGGCUAACUACGUGCCAGCAGCCGCGGUAAUACGUAGGUGGCGAGCGUUGUCCGGAUUUACUGGGUGUAAAGGGCGCGUAGGCGGACUGUCAAGUCAGUCGUGAAAUGUCGGGGCUUAACCCCGGAACUGCGAUUGAAACUGACAGCCUUGAGUGCCGGAGAGGAAAGCGGAAUUCCUAGUGUAGCGGUGAAAUGCGUAGAUAUUAGGAGGAACACCAGUGGCGAAGGCGGCUUUCUGGACGGUAACUGACGCUGAGGCGCGAAAGUGUGGGGAGCAAACAGGAUUAGAUACCCUGGUAGUCCACACCGUAAACGAUGGAUACUAGGUGUAGGAGGUAUCGACCCCUUCUGUGCCGCAGUU